rnacentral:rRNA from 1 species
GACGAACGCUGGCGGCGUGCCUAAUACAUGCAAGUAGAACGCUGAAGGAGGAGCUUGCUUCUCUGGAUGAGUUGCGAACGGGUGAGUAACGCGUAGGUAACCUGCCUGGUAGCGGGGGAUAACUAUUGGAAACGAUAGCUAAUACCGCAUAAGAGUAGAUGUUGCAUGACAUUUGCUUAAAAGGUGCACUUGCAUCACUACCAGAUGGACCUGCUUUGUAUUAGCUAGUUGGUGGGGUAACGGCUCACCAAGGCGACGAUACAUAGCCGACCUGAGAGGGUGAUCGGCCACACUGGGACUGAGAAACGGCCCAGACUCCUACGGGAGGCAGCAGUAGGGAGUCUUCGGCAAUGGACGGAAGUCUGACCGAGCAACGCCGCGUGAGUGAAGAAGGUUUUCGGAUCGUAAAGCUCUGUUGUAAGAGAAGAACGAGUGUGAGAGUGGAAAGUUCACACUGUGACGGUAUCUUACCAGAAAGGGACGGCUAACUACGUG